rnacentral:rRNA from 1 species
AUACAUGCAAGUCGAGCGGACGGAUGGGAGCUUGCUCCCUGAAGUCAGCGGCGGACGGGUGAGUAACACGUGGGCAACCUGCCUGUAAGACUGGGAUAACUUCGGGAAACCGGAGCUAAUACCGGAUAACACCGAGGACCACAUGGUCCUUGGUUGAAAGAUGGCUUCGGCUAUCACUUACAGAUGGGCCCGCGGCGCAUUAGCUAGUUGGUGAGGUAACGGCUCACCAAGGCGACGAUGCGUAGCCGACCUGAGAGGGUGAUCGGCCACACUGGGACUGAGACACGGCCCAGACUCCUACGGGAGGCAGCAGUAGGGAAUCUUCCGCAAUGGACGAAAGUCUGACGGAGCAACGCCGCGUGAGCGAUGAAGGCCUUCGGGUCGUAAAGCUCUGUUGUUAGGGAAGAACAAGUACCGUUCGAAUAGGGCGGUACCUUGACGGUACCUAACCAGAAAGCCACGGCUAACUACGUGCCAGCAGCCGCGGUAAUACGUAGGUGGCAAGCGUUGUCCGGAAUUAUUGGGCGUAAAGCGCGCGCAGGCGGUUCCUUAAGUCUGAUGUGAAAGCCCACGGCUCAACCGUGGAGGGUCAUUGGAAGACUGGGGAACUUGAGUGCAGAAGAGGAAAGC